GCGGGAGCGGUGCGGGAGCGGUGCGGAGAAAAGGUGACUCGGCCGCAUUUCCAGCAUUAAAAUUUAAUGCGAGUUGCAGCAUCCUCCUGCGCCGUAGGUAGGGCCGGGGGGGCCGGGGGCUGCUGGAGGAGGAGUUUGCUUGGCUGCCUCUUCCUCAGGGAUGCUGUGGGAAAGCUCCAGCACAAAGGAGCGGCGCGGCGAGCAGGAGGGAGCGGAACCGGCGCCCCCCAGGCCCAGCCCGGCCCCCCGGGAGCAGAAUCCUCAUCAAGAAUAGGGCUCCUGCCAGGUAAAUGGAUUCUUGCCUGAUUCAAUGCUCCUGGGAGGAUUUGCAGCCAAAAUACUGUUUUAUUGCUUUGUCUCGAAGCCCCCAUUUUCUCCGCAAGCUGAUGAUCCUAGGCGGGGGUUAGAGGCGAGGCUGGAGCCAGCAGCCCCAGGGCACAGCACAGCCCUUCCUUCUCACAGUUAACCUGGCAGAUGCUCUUCUUGCGGAGCCAUUUUCUCUCCCUCAUUGUCUCGCAGCCUUUUGUGUGUGCGGGUAGGUCCUGCCCGGGGAGCCAGGAGGAGCCCAGAAAUAAUCAGAUUUCCAAGCUCUGUGGGCUUGCAAGGACCCUUUCACACCCUCACAUCCCCUUCUGCCGGGCUACCCAGCCCCAGAGCUGCAGACAAAGGCAGCAGCGCCUGGCACCACUGCAGCAGCACCGGAGCCUGGGCUGUGCCAGAGCCUGGGCUCUGCUGGAUGGCAGCGAGGGUCGGGCAGCGCUGGCAGGACACAGGGCCGGGGUGUCCGGCCACCCCGCUGGGAUCUGGGGGCUCAGGAUGCUCGGAUGCCACAUCCCAGAGAUGGCAUCUCUCGCGGCAGUGCCGUGCCUGCUGGGCCCUCAUCUCCCUGCUCCUGCCUGCAGUGGAGCUUCUGCUCCUCUCUCUCCCUCCCUCCUCACUCGAGAAGGGGGUUUGGCCCCCAUUUAAUUCGGGUGUCCAGCCCCCCAUGGCCACCCACGCGUGUGGCAAGGGCAGCUCAAGCUCGCACUCAAGACGAGGGUUUUGGUGAGUCCUGUCUGCACAAAAUUGUUUUCCCCUCCAGCCUGUCUCCUGGGCUGUGCUUCCUUCCCAGGCCAGAGAGGCAAUCCUGCCUCACCACAGGCACCUCCCGCUCGGAUCCAGGCAGGGCAUCCACUGCCAGAUGUUCAGUGGCACCUCCGCUCUCAUUCCCGCUGCUCAGCCCCACCGCAGCUGGGCUGCAAACGCUGCCUGGACGCGCUGUCCCCACGGGAGGGACUGUCCUGCCGGCGUGCGGUGACAAUGAGCCGUGGGAAGCAGGAGUGGCUCCGCAGCUCAGCUGCAGAGUCAUCACUGCCCCGUUCCCCCGGGACCUGCUGCCGUCCUGGUUUGCCCAGGCGGGCAGGGCAGGGCAGGGCAGGGCACAGACACGGGCUGGCUGCUGGCACCGGCCACGUGUCCCCAAAUCCCCGGGGACAUGGAGCAGCACGCACUGUGACCGCCAGCCGCCCCAGUUUAACCAGUGGAGCCGCAGGGUCCCAGUGACUCAGCCUGGGCACGCAGUGAGGGCAGCAGAAGCGGCAGUGCCAAUCAGUCCCUGCCUCCAGUGAGGGGGUUCCAGCAGCAGGCAGGGACAGUUUGGGGCACUGCCACCAUUUCUGCUGGGGUGGUUCUGAUGCCCCCCCUGUGCCCGGUUCAGCUCCUGCUCUCUGCAAGGGGACAGGGACAGGAAUGUCCGUGCCCAGCCCUCCUGCCAGGCUCCUGCCAGCUUGGCUGGGCUGUGCCUGAGGCCGGCGCCCUGUUUCUCCCCCUUGCUGCGUUGGUUGUUUCUUUUGCAGCUGCUAAUGACUGACCUGAGGUCUGUUCACACAGUCCCCUCGCUGCCUCCACUGCACAGAGUCACAUGGAACAGGGGACAUUGCACAGCACUCCCCUAGCUGGCGACCACAGUGCCACCACCCCAGGGGCAUGGCCCCAGCUCCUGCCUGGCCACACUGACCAUGUCCAGAGGGGAGCCGGGCUCAGGAGCUGCCAUCACGACCAGCACAUGAUGCCAGAGCCAGGCUGGCCCCAGCAGAGCACCCCGGUACCCACUGCCAGGGCGUGGAGCCACGAGCCCGGCCACAGCGGGGGACACAGCCCAGGAGACUGCGGUGGUGACACCUGAGGACACGGGGCUGCGCAUGCACGCGGUUCUCCUGCAAGGUGCUGGGGUGUCCUUGCCUCCCUCUGCUCCCCCCAGGCCUGUCCCCUUCCCUGAGGCAGUGCAGGAGGAGGGAGAAGAAAAAGGGAGUGGGGGCAGAGCUGUGCCAGCUCCUCAUGGUGACACAAUGGCCAGAGCCCAAAGGGACUCUGUCCCCACUGAUCCUGCCCUUCCCUCUGGCUGUUGGUGAUGUCCUGGUGCUCUCUGCUCUGGAGGUGCCAAGUCUUGGCAAGACCCUGCUUCUGCUCCCCUUGGAGAAACACCUGGUUUGUGGAGCACCCUGGAGGAAUGUGGGCAGUGAAUCCUCCUCCUGUGGCCUCUGCAGUGGCCCCAUAAGCAGCUGGGACCUUGUCCUUGCCAAGGGACACACUUGGGCCUGUGUCCCCACACAGGCAGAAGGGCGGGGGGUGCCGUGAGCUGGGGGCUGUGGACAAACACAGCUCAUGGCAGGUGUUACAGCCUUGAAGUCCAGACUGGAAAAGCAUCCUCAUGGGGACCAGAGGAGCUCGUGCUGUGGGAGGAGGUGACCCAAAGGGACACGGGGCAGAGGCUUUCUGGGUGCCCCGUCCCAGCCCUGUUUCUUGGGGCACAGUGUUCCUGCAGCCCUCAGAGCACUGCUCAGCCCCAUGGAGAGGCAGCUCCCGAUGGGAGGGGGUAAGCUGUGGGCCACCUUUCCUCUGCUCCAUGGUGGUUUUCCCUGCUGGACCUACACCUGCACAUGCAGUGGGAGCUUGGGGCAGACCUGGAGCAGCUGUUGUGGUCUCUGCUGGAGCCCUGCUCUUGCAGAGCUGCCUGGAGCCUUAUCCCAGACACUGCCAGUGAUUCCUUCACUCCCUCCUUCUCUGCUUCUUCCAGCUCCUUUAGAGACCUUCAGGCACUGCUGGGACUGUCCUCCACACAUCCUGCCUCUCACCUUUCCCAGGCUCAGGGGUGGGAAGUUCCUGUUGUGAGGGGACACUCACUGCUGGGCCCUUUGGUGCCUCCCUGGCCAGGAUCAGAGGGGCAGAUGCCUGCUGAGAAUUUCAUUCAGAGACAGGUUCUGUUACCCUGGCUGAACCCUCCACUAACACCUUCCCCAACGCCAAAGCCCAAAAACGCCUCCUGCUCUUGUGAGCCAGAGCCCUGCUGCUGAUGGGCCCAGCUCUGCAUGCUGCCAGUAUUAACCUACUAACCUGCUGGGACCCCUGUGCCCUCCCCAGGGCUGCCACAGCCCCUGGCACACGGACUAACCCACUAACCAGCCCAGCGCAUGCCCUACUAACCCACAGCGGCCCUGCCUCGCGCCCACUAACCACGGCAGCAGCACUGCCUUGAAAGGGGAACAGAAAAGCUGGAAAAGGCCUUUGGGAGUGCCAGGUGUCGGUGCCAGGCUGCACAGGCAGGGACAGAUGGGGGCAUCCCCAGCCCUGGGCAGCAGAGGGGACCAGCAGCCCCUGCCCUGGGCAGCA